UGUCUGCAGAAGGACUCUAGAGGUCACUCAAGGAAUCCUACACCAUCCCCCAGAUAUCCCUGAUGUCACAGGAAGGAAGAAAGAAGGCAAAGAAAGAGGAGGACGAGGACGACAAGGAAGCAUCAGAGAUAUGACAGAUUUAUGUGCAAACAUGUUUAUGCAACAAACCUAACUUCCUCACAACAACAAAAGGAAACAUACUAGGGAUGGAACUCAGGGUUGCUCUAUUGCUGAACUACACCUUAGACCUUUUCAUUUUGAAACAAGAUCUUGCUAAGAUGCUGAGACUUCAAACUUGUGAUCUUCCUGCCUCAGCUUCCCACGUAGCUGUGAUUCCAGAUGUGUACCACUGUGCCUGGGCCUAAAAAUGGGAGUUCGUGAAGAUUAUUCGAGGUUCAAAAUUUAAUGUUACAUACUCAAGGGAAGUAGAAUGCAUAGGACUAUUUGUGAAGGAAAUGUACCAAAAUGGUAAGAGUAAUAAUCUCUGGUUAGUGAAAUUAGAGUCAUUUACAUUU